GACCUCUCCGGUGGCCUAGUGUUUAGAGCGUCCGCCUCAGAUGCGGGAGGUCGUGGUCUCGAACUCUAGUUGAGUCA